AAUCUUAAUUUUAAUUAAACUGCAAAUUUAAUAUAGAAGAUUACUUCUAAGAUUU
rnacentral:tRNA from 1 species